AUGGUACCCACAUGUGUGCUGCUGAGAAGGAUGUACAGGGGCGCCUGCAGCCAAAUCCAAGGCUCCUCAGAUGGUGACGGUGUGGAGAGACGGUGGUGUUUCCUCAGAAGAACUAGCAGAGUCACAAAGGGCACGAGUCCUUCUCACCACCUUGACUUGUUGAUCAGUGGAUACACUUGUCUCCCCUUUAAAGGAGACACUCUUAGAGAGAGACGAUCCGAGUCAUCCUUAAAUAUGGGCAGGAUAUCACUAUUGGACUGUCUAACCUGCAGGAGCAGCACUGAAUAACCACUACACAUGAGCAUGUUCCUGCAACAUUCAGCAGCUCUGCUUUUGGUAAGUAGAGUUACCUAACUACAGUAACUCCAAACACAUGCCAUCCAUUUCUAACGGCCUGGUUACUUCCUGUCAGUUAUUUUAGAAACCAUGUGGUCACCUGACCUAACACUGUUUCUUCUUCUUCCCCUUAAUGUUGAAGUGUCAAAUGUCUAACAGCUGGAGAGGAAACUACACCAGUGUACUGGGAUGUUUCAGCAACACGUGCCAGACGCUGUUCCUUCAUGGUGACAUCACCAGAGACAGCCCCGCCCACCUCAGGACCUCGCCAUUGAUCAUGAUGAUUAUAAUGAUGACAGCGAGCAGAACUAAGACUGUAAAAAUCAGAAUAUUUAGAUGCUUUCUAAUUAUUAAUGAAUACUGAGAGCCUCUUUCUGUGUUUUGUCUGUUUUUUUUUUUUUUUACCUCAUUUGUUACUAACAAAGUUCACCAAACUCACACAGUUUACAUUCUGUAUGUUUCCAUCUUUACCAGCCACACUCUACCUGCAAUUAAGCAAAUAAUCCUUAGAAAUCCUCGUUUUUCUCUUUUGUAAUUGAUGAUAAUUCAGUGAAUAUACUGCGCUGCUUCCUUUUAUUGCGUCACACAUUGCUUUAAGUUUUUCCAGUGUCCAGUUAUUUUUUACUGCUGUUUGAAUUCUCUGCAUGUUUGACCCUGUAGACUGUUUGAUGGACUGCUUGUCUUCCUGUUUGUAACCGCCGCCUGUUUUUGACUAAAGAUUUGGAUUUCUGACUUUAACACAGCCUCUGCGUGUCCUCCCUUUGUGUCCUCUUCCUCUGUGAAUGUGUUGCAUGUGUCACAGAUUCAUUUUAUUAACAGCUUUCCCACAGUCAGUUGCAUCAGCAUUCAUUCACAGCACAUUGCAGAAGGAUUCAGAUUAAUACAGUGAUCUUAUAGUCAGAAUUAUCCUGACAGACUGUAAAUUAUCUUUCAUCAGGUCAAUUUUAAAGUUCAGUAUUUCAAAGCAGGAGUUAUGAAGAAUCAUACUGGCAUUAGGACUGUAACAAUAUGUACUUACAAAGUCAAAGUUUUUUAAUUAUGCUAGAAUAUUGGAAGACAAUCAACUUUUAGUGUUUUCUGCAUAUUAAUUAUUCUGAAAUAGAGAUGGUGACCCUAACUGUACAGAAGCACUAAACAACUGACAAUCUAACAAACAUUAUUGGCCUGAGCCGUCAUGCACAGUGAGUCUGAUCCUGUGCUGUGAGAGUCUGACAAGCAUGUUUCUGGUCAGUUUGGAAGAAAUAAUAUCACAAUGUUGAUCUUUUUUUAAUAUUCCUUCUCUUUUACAACAUAAACUGUGAUCAAAGCUACUUAUGUUCACAGCAUGUAAUAAUACUGACAGUCCAGGGCAUUGUGGUCUGUUGAGCUAGGGUUAGGGUUAGCAAUUCAGACAUAUGUAAUCAAUCUCUUACUGGAUAUAACAAA
ensembl:lncRNA